rnacentral:rRNA from 1 species
ACGAGAAAGCGGGCUUCGGCCUGUGAGUACAGUGGCAGACGGGUGAGUAACACGUGGGUAACCUGCCCGCGGGUGGGGGAUAACCCUCCGAAAGGAGGGCUAAUACCGCAUAACAUCCCGAGCCCCUCGGGGCUCGUGAUCAAAGCUUGCCUCUACUUGUAGGCAAGCGCCUGUGGAGGGGCCCGCGCCCCAUUAGCUUGUUGGUGAGGUAACGGCUCACCAAGGCUACGAUGGGUAGCCGGCCUGAGAGGGUGAUCGGCCACACUGGAACUGAGACACGGUCCAGACUCCUACGGGAGGCAGCAGUGAGGAAUUUUGCGCAAUGGGCGAAAGCCUGACGCAGCGACGCCGCGUGGAGGACGAAGGUCUUCGGAUCGUAAACUCCUGUCGGGCGGGACGAAAUCUGAACGGAUGAAUAAGUCGUUCAGUUGACGGUACCGCUGGAGGAAGCCCCGGCUAACUCCGUGCCAGCAGCCGCGGUAAUACGGAGGGGGCCAGCGUUGUUCGGAAUUAUUGGGCGUAAAGGGCGCGUAGGCGGCUGGGCAGGUCAGAGGUGAAAGCCCUCGGCUCAACCGAGGAACUGCCUCUGAAACUGCCUGGCUUGAGUCCCGGAGAGGGUAGUGGAAUUCCCAGUGUAGCGGUGAAAUGCGUAGAUAUUGGGAGGAACACCAGUGGCGAAGGCGGCUACCUGGACGGGUACUGACGCUGAGGCGCGAAAGCGUGGGGGAGCAAACAGGAUUAGAUACCCUGGUAGUCCACGCUGUAAACGAUGGGCACUUGGUGUUGCGGGUAUCGACCCCU